UCUUGGUCAUUUAGAGGAAGUAAAAGUCGUAACAAGGUCUCCGUUGGUGAACCAGCGGAGGGAUCAUUACCGAGUUUACAACUCCCAAACCCAAUGUGAACGUUACCAAACUGUUGCCUCGGCGGGAUCUCUGCCCCGGGUGCGUCGCAGCCCCGGACCAAGGCGCCCGCCGGAGGACCRACCUAAAACUCUUAUUGUAUACCCCCUCGCGGGUUUUUUUAUAAUCUGAGCCUUCUCGGCGCCUCUCGUAGGCGUUUCGAAAAUGAAUCAAAACUUUCAACAACGGAUCUCUUGGUUCUGGCAUCGAUGAAGAACGCAGCGAAAUGCGAUAAGUAAUGUGAAUUGCAGAAUUCAGUGAAUCAUCGAAUCUUUGAACGCACAUUGCGCCCGCCAGUAUUCUGGCGGGCAUGCCUGUCCGAGCGUCAUUUCAACCCUCGAACCCCUCCGGGGGGUCGGCGUUGGGGAUCGGCCCUCCCUUAGCGGGUGGCCGUCUCCGAAAUACAGUGGCGGUCUCGCCGCAGCCUCUCCUGCGCAGUAGUUUGCACACUCGCAUCGGGAGCGCGGCGCGUCCACAGCCGUUAAACACCCAACUUCUGAAAUGUUGACCUCGGAUCAGGUAGGAAUACCCGCUGAACUUAAGCAUAUCAAUAAAGCGGAGG
rnacentral:rRNA from 1 species